rnacentral:tRNA from 1 species
GUAGCUCAGUGGUAGAGCGCAUGCUUCGCAUGUAUGAGGCCCCGGGUUCGAUCCCCGGC